rnacentral:rRNA from 1 species
GGGUGAGGGCCCCUCAGUUAGUUUGCUCCUCGACCGCAGAAGCCUGGAGCUUGCACCGGGUUCCUGAGUGGCGAACGGGUGAGUAAUACGUGAGUGACCUGCCUUUGACUCUGGGAUAAGCCUGGGAAACUGGGUCUAAUACCGGAUGCGACUACUGCCCGCAUGGGCUGGUGGUGGAAAGGGUUAUGUACUGGUCUUAGAUGGGCUCACGGCCUAUCAGCUGGUUGGUGGGGUAAUGGCCUACCAAGGCGACGACGGGUAGCCGGCCUGAGAGGGUGACCGGCCACACUGGGACUGAGACACGGCCCAGACUCCUACGGGAGGCAGCAGUGGGGAAUAUUGCACAAUGGGCGCAAGCCUGAUGCAGCGACGCCGCGUGAGGGAUGACGGCCUUCGGGUUGUAAACCUCUUUCAGCAGGGAAGAAGCGGAAGUGACGGUACCUGCAGAAGAAGCGCCGGCUAACUACGUGCCAGCAGCCGCGGUAAUACGUAGGGCGCAAGCGUUGUCCGGAAUUAUUGGGCGUAAAGAGCUCGUAGGCGGCUUGUCGCGUCUGCUGUGAAAGCCCGGGGCUUAACUCCGGGUGUGCAGUGGGUACGGGCAGGCUAGAGUGCAGUAGGGGUAACUGGAAUUCCUGGUGUAGCGGUGAAAUGCGCAGAUAUCAGGAGGAACACCGAUGGGCGAAGGCAGGUUACUGGGGCUGUUACUGACGCUGAGGAGCGAAAGCAUGGGGGAGCGAACAGGGAUAAAUUACCCUGGUAGUCCCA